CCCCUCCAGGGAAUAGGAGGCAAUCGCGGUGGCCAGAGAGGUGGCUGCAUACCCUGGGCCAAGCCAGCAUCCGAUUGCCGCAGGGGGUGCAUCAGGGUCCAUCCCUCCCUAACGCCCGAAUUGGAGCUGGUCGGACAUUUCUUGCUGGUGCGUGUCCUCAGCCAGAUCUACCCCUGGCAUCAAGCUGACCUGGCAGGACCAGAAACCAGGUGCUUACUUCUGGGCACACAAGCCUUUUUCUUAAAUCUUUGCCCUUCAGCAGCCCAACUAUGAAGAUCCUUUGUGGACUAUGGACAGAAGGCAAAGAAAACUCCCUGAGCCUGGGUCAUCUCUCAGUGCUGUUUUUAGGGAGCAGUGUUCCUGGGCUGUGUGUCAUUUUCAUCCAUGCUGGAAAUUUUCCCCAUUCUCAUCAUCCGUGACACAGUUUUGGCAGAUGAGCUGUUGGUCCCUUGAGGGUUUCUUACUCCAUUUAUGAAAAGUAGAAAAAACAACCUCAUGAAGAUGUUUUGAUAUAUAUCACAGCACAAACAACUGGAGGGAAGUUAUGUGACAGCAGACAGCCAAGGUGUGCUGAUGGUGGUUCUCACCAAUCACAGAGCCAAGAAGAAGAAAUUCUUUUUUAUACUGGAGAUCAAUCCAGGGGAGUUGCCUCUUUAUGGCAGUACCAAAUGAAAUUCAUGCAAUUUCCAACAGGUGGAUGAGCUGCUGGUCCCUUGAGGGUUUCUUACUCUAUUUAUGAAAAGUAGAAAAAACAACCUCAUGAAGAUGUAUUGAUAUAUAUCACAGCACAAACAACUGGAGGGAAGUUAUGUGACAGCUGACAGCCAAGUGAAACAGAUACUCUGGAUUGAAGUCUCAGCUGUGGAGAAUUAUCAGCCAUGAAGUCACCCAACCCCCCACCGGCAAACAAUUGGAGAAGAGAAAUCAAACCUUCCUACCACCGUGCACCCAGGGCACCACCUGAUUUGUCCUCAGCCGAUUGGUUCAGUUCAAAAAGUCCAAAUCAAUUGUCUCAGUCUGCACCUGUCUUGGGUGAGAGAGUUUAAGAGGUCUCUGGGAACUGGAUCACAGGGGUCUGGUGACUGCUCUCGUGUGGCUUGCUCCAGUGCUGCGUGGAGUCAGGAGGAGCCACCCAGCCAAUAGAUCAGUCUGGGAAGGUUAAUGCCUCCUUCCCCACCUUGCAUCACUGUCACACCCAGUCACUGAUAGCCCUGCAGUUGGCUGACCCAGUUGCCUGUAGUGAAUCGGUACUCCAGGAAUUUGCACCUGCCUGAAUCACAAGGAAAUCUGCCAGGCCGCUGCGCUCUGCCUCUCUCUAGCAGGAGGAGGUAAGGCCUGACAACCUCGGGUGCUUGAUGAAGGUUGGGGGGUUUUCACGCAGGUCCAGUCUCGCCCCUGAUUAAUGUUACUGACAGAACAGAACAGAACAACUCUGCGGUUCCCCUGCAGAAGAGAAGCUGAGUUGAGUUCCAAAUCACCUUGUCUUUGCUCUUGUAUUGUCUAUAGGCUGACGAUCCCCUGAGGGCCAGGUGUGUCUUAGGUUUAGUAAAGUGGACCUCUGGGUCAGCCCCGCCCUGGGAGUUUUCCCAGUUUGCAAGUUGGAGUAGCCUCAGGCAAAUCCUAUACUCAGAGUCUCUGGUUGCCCAGGGAGACAGGGAGUGUGGGCUUCAGAUACGGUAGUGAGCCGUAUUGCUAGCAAAGAGGGCUGCUGUUUUAUGGCUCAGGCAACCGCUGCUCCGGUGUAGCUCCCUUCUGGCCAACCAUCCUCUCUCUGUUCCCGUACCCCAGAGUCUGCACCAACCGGCUACAGCCCAGCACUGUCUACACUCCUCGAGCAAUCACCCAAGAGUCUAAACCCCUGGCUGACAGGCCUCCAGACUUUGGAGCAGAGGGGACCGCAGGGAGCGCUGGGAGCCUGGGGUUGAGGGCAGAGAACACACACAGCUUUACACAGUUUUAUGCCUGGCCAUACUGUCACCAAAAGACGGCUGUCGCACUGUGCCUCAGGGAACCGCCACUCCGGUGCAGUUCCCUCUUCGCCGACCAGGACUGGCCUCCAGACCUCAGUGUGAGUGAAGGGGAGCGCUGGGAGCUCAGAAUUCCAGGUAGAGACUAUAUACAGCUUAUACAGUUUUAUGCCUGGCAGGAGGACACUGUGGCACCCUAGUAGGGGAGAUAGGUCCAGUUUUUAGAGGGUCUCUCCCGUGGAGUGUAGUGGGAGGAACGUUUAACUCUGCCCGAUUGUUUGUGGGGCACUCUGAGCUGUUCUUAUGGUGGAGGUAACUCCCAUUCACUUGGUGAUGGAUUUUGUACCUUUUGUUUGUAUCCUUGUGGUUGCAGCUCACCUCAGUGGGGUUGACAUGCGUUCUUCAACCUUCUCUCUUAGUGCAGCUCAAAUCCACCAGGUUACUUGCUGAAUUUUUGUCCUUUAACUCUCCUACUGGACGGGAGCCUCUGUGGAAAGCUGGCUUCAGUCAGCCAUCUUGUCUCCUCCCCUCUGAAACGGGGUUUUCUUGCAGAGACAGCAACCAAAAUGAAGAUACGGAGUAGACUGAUCAUGGGCAACACACUUUGGGGGUCACCAUCUCCCAUCACCCCCAGAUGACACCACCUUUGAGCUCACCCGGCCCCGGGCCCCACACCGUCCAGCCCACACGGCAAGGCGCAGCAAAUAUCUGUCCAGCUGCAACUGCCCCUCCACCAAUUCUCCCCCUCCCCUCCUUCUCUUCCCCCUUCUUCUUGGGCUGUAGUUGGGUUAUAGCUUUCAUAUGAACACUAUAAAUUGGUUUCAUAGUAGGGCUUAGUAUAUUGGAUACUUUUUCUUCCAUUCUUGACAUACUUUGCUAAGAAGAAUAUCUUCCAACUCCAUCCAUGUAAACAUGAAAGAGGUAAAAUCUCCAUCUUUUUUUAAGGCUGCAUAAUGUUCCAUGGUGUACAUAUAUCACAAUUUAUUAAUCCAUUCAUGGGUUGAUGGGCACUUGGGCUUCUUCCAUGACUUAGCAAUUAUGAGUGGGGCUACCAUAAACAUUCUGGUGCAAAUGUCUUUGUUAUAAUGUGAUUUUUGGUCUUCUGGAUAUAUACCUAGUAGAGGAAUUGAAGGAUUGAAUGGCAGGCCUAUUUUUAGAUCCCUAAGUGAUCUCCAAACAUAUUUCCAAAAGGAACUUAUUAGCUUGCAUUCCCACUCUCAGUGUAGAAGUGUUCCCUUUUCUCCACAUUCAUGCCAACAUGUCUGGUUUUGGGAUUUGGUGAUGUGGGCUAAUCUUACUGGGGUUAGAUGAUAUCUCAAAGUGGUUUUGAUUUGCAUUUCUCUGAUAAUGAUGAUGAGCAUUUUUGGAUAUGUCUGUAAGCUGUGCACCUGACUUCUUCAGAGAAGUUUCUCUUCAAGUCUCUUACCCUAACCUAUGACAAGUGCAAACGAGUGCGGGAAAGUGUGAAAGAGGCAGGAAAUCAAUUUCAUAUAUCAAACAAUAAACAUCCUAAAAGUAACACUACAGUCCCUAACUCCCAGCCAAAUUGGAAUUAUAAUAAUAAUA